ACGCACGCUGGCGGCAUGCCUAACCCCUGCAAGUCGCACGAGACCUUCGGGUCUAGUGGCGCACGGGUGCGUCACGCGUGGGAACCUGCCCUUAGGUUCGGAAUAACUCCCCGAAAGGGGUGCUAAUACCGGAUAAUGUCUUCGGACCAAAGAUUUAUCGCCUUUGGAUGGGCCCGCGUUGGAUUAGCUAGUUGGUAGGGUAAAAGCCUACCAAGGCGACGAUCCAUAGCUGGUCUGAGAGGAUGAUCAGCCACACUGGGACUGAGACACGGCCCAGACUCCUACGGGAGGCAGCAGUGGGGAAUAUUGGACAAUGGGCGAAAGCCUGAUCCAGCAAUGCCGCGUGAGUGAUGAAGGCCUUAGGGUUGUAAAGCUCUUUUACCCGGGAUGAUAAUGACAGUACCGGGAGAAUAAGCUCCGGCUAACUCCGUG
rnacentral:rRNA from 1 species